rnacentral:RNase_P_RNA from 1 species
UCAGUCGGUCGGGCAGCCGCGCUUGUCAUAUGCCGAAAGGCGGCAGGUGAGGAAAGUCCGGGCUCCAUGGAAAUACGGUGCCGGGUAACGCCCGGCGGGGUGACCCCAGGGAUAGUGCCACAGAAAGCAGACCGCCCGUCUUCCGUACCGCUUUCAAGAAGCGGCAGGGAUGACGGGGUAAGGGUGAAAGGGUGGGGUAAGAGCCCACCGCGCCGGUGGCAACACAGGCGGCACGGUAAACCCCACUGGGAGCAAAACCGAAUAGGGACGGCGCAUCAGCCCGAAAGAGCUGAUAAUCAGUUUCCGGAUCAGCCGUCCGGGUGGGUUGCAAGAGGCGGGUGGCGACAUCCGUCCCAGAUGAAUGGCUGCCACGUUGGACGCAAGUCCGGCCAUACAGAACCCGGCUUACAGACCGACUGACAUU